GAAUAUUGGACAAUGGGCGAAAGCCUGAUCCAGCCAUGCCGCGUGUGUGAAGAAGGUCUUCGGAUUGUAAAGCACUUUAAGUGGGGAGGAAGGGCAGUAAGCGAAGACCUGGCUGUUUCGACGUUACCGAACGAAUAAGCACCGGCGAACUCAGUGCCAGCCGCCGCGGCAGUACAGAGGGUGGAAGCGUGAAUCGGAAUUACUGGGCGUAAAGCGCGCGUAGGUGGUUCGUUAAGUUGGAUGUGAAAUCCCCGGGCUCAACCUGGGAACUGCAUCCAAAACUGGCGAGCUAGAGUAGGGCAGAGGGUGGUGGAAUUUCCUGUGUAGCGGUGAAAUGCGUAGAUAUAGGAAGGAACACCAGUGGCGAAGGCGACCACCUGGGCUCAUACUGACACUGAGGUGCGAAAGCGUGGGGAGCAAACAG
rnacentral:rRNA from 1 species